UUGAUUAUGGCUCAGGACGAACGCUGGCGGCGUGCCUAACACAUGCAAGUCGAACGGAGAAUUUUAUUUCGGUAGAAUUCUUAGUGGCGAACGGGUGAGUAACGCGUAGGCAACCUGCCCUUUAGACGGGGACAACGUUCCGAAAGGAGUGCUAAUACCGGAUGUGAUCAUCUUGCCGCAUGGCAGGAUGAAGAAAGAUGGCCUCUACAAGUAAGCUAUCGCUAAAGGAUGGGCCUGCGUCUGAUUAGCUAGUUGGUAGUGUAAUGGACUACCAAGGCGAUGAUCAGUAGCCGGUCUGAGAGGAUGAACGGCCACAUUGGGACUGAGACACGGCCCAAACUCCUACGGGAGGCAGCAGUGGGGAAUCUUCCGCAAUGGACGAAAGUCUGACGGAGCAACGCCGCGUGAGUGAUGAAGGAUUUCGGUCUGUAAAGCUCUGUUGUUUAUGACGAACGUGCAGUGUGUGAACAAUGCAUUGCAAUGACGGUAGUAAACGAGGAAGCCACGGCUAACUACGUGCCAGCAGCCGCGGUAAUACGUAGGUGGCGAGCGUUGUCCGGAAUUAUUGGGCGUAAAGAGCAUGUAGGCGGCUUAAUAAGUCGAGCGUGAAAAUGCGGGGCUCAACCCCGUAUGGCGCUGGAAACUGUUAGGCUUGAGUGCAGGAGAGGAAAGGGGAAUUCCCAGUGUAGCGGUGAAAUGCGUAGAUAUUGGGAGGAACACCAGUGGCGAAGGCGCCUUUCUGGACUGUGUCUGACGCUGAGAUGCGAAAGCCAGGGUAGCGAACGGGAUUAGAUACCCCGGUAGUCCUGGCCGUAAACGAUGGGUACUAGGUGUAGGAGGUAUCGACCCCUUCUGUGCCGGAG
rnacentral:rRNA from 1 species